ACUAGGAAUUUUGCGCAAUGGGGGCAACCCUGACGCAGCGACACAGCGUGGAGGAGGAAGGUCUUCGGAUUGUAAACUCCUUUUAUAUGGGAAGAAUAGAUGACUGUACCAUAUGAAUAAGCACCUGCUAACUACGUGCCAGAAGCAUCGGUGAUGCGUAGGGUGCGAACGUUAUCCGGAUUUAUUGGGCGUAAAGAGAUGCGUAGGCGUUUCAGUUAGUCUUUCGUUAAAAGUCACGGCUUAACCGUGAAGAUGCGUUGGAUACUGCUGAAAUUGAGACAUGAAGGGGUGAACGGAACUCCAAGUGGAGCGGUGAAAUGCGUUGAUAUUUGGAAGAACAUCAGAGGCGAAGGCGGUUCACUGGUCAUUGUCUGACGCUAAGGCUCGAAAGCGUGGGUAGCAAAACGGAUUAGAUACCCCUGUAGUCC
rnacentral:rRNA from 1 species